GCCACUCCAGCCCGUCGCCGUCGCGCCGCUCCAGAUCCGGCGCUCUCGCUCCGUCGCCGACGUUGCUACUCCAGGACAACAUCACCGCUACCGUGUAAAUUUAAUUCGAUGAGGAGAUGAAGUUUGAGUGUGUGUGUGUGUUUGAUUUCUCUCCCUUUUCCACUCCAGCCCGUCGGCGUCGCGCCGCUCCAGAUCCGGCGCUCCCGCUCCGUAGCUGACGUUGCUUCUCCAGGACAACAUCACCGCUGCCGUUUUCAUUGUGUGAAUUUUUUUGUGGUGGCCGAGUGUUUGCCGAGAUCCUUCCAUGUGGCGGAGCAUCGACAUGCGAAAUACCGGAGAUCUCUGGGAAAUGCCGUACCAUUUGGAUAAGAUGUGCUGCCACGCUGUCGAUCGCAGCCAUGGCCAAUUGAUUGUCAUCAAUACUGAGUAUUUUGGUACCGAUGAAUUGCUGCACUACAUUUCUCAGAGCCAUGGAAGCCCCUCCAACCUGCUGCAUAUUGAACCGUGAUAGGGAAUCAUUAUCUGUGUCUCUCCACUAUCCUGGGAUGUAUUUGCACUAGCCAAUUCUGAACGCUAAAUUUGACCGUUUUAGUUUGUUAAGGAAUCUUCCAUCCGCUGUUAAGACAGGGGAAUACACUCCUCAUCUGCUGUUGCAACGGAAAAGAUAUUAGUGUAUGCGUUUGUCUGGCUGUUUUUACACCAUUUUUUGAUGAAGCAGGUAUGAUUAGGAUAUUGCACUACUCUCUGAAUGUUUUAUAAGUUUCUGCGUUUAAGAUUAUGCCCUCUUAUUAGAAUGUUCAGUGUGAUACAAUAGUGCCUAGAUUAAUGAAAUCAUAUUUAUUUACACUUUGAGCUCAUACGUACAAGUUGUUCGGAGUCCACAUGGAUGUAUGUGAUUGGUUGAAUAUCAAACUGUGCAACGAUUCUUAAAAAUGAAAAAAAAGUUCACUGGUGAUAUUUCGCAAGUUAUAGGUUUUGAGUAAUUUUGUUUGGAAGUGAUUCAAAGAUCUCUGACUAUGAAAUGGUAAGUGACAUAUGUACGUAAUUUACCAAGUUCAUUAUUUAUAUUAAUAUUUGUUUUAUUAUCUU